GACAGAGGGUGCGAACGUUGUUCGGAAUUACUGGGCGUAAAGCGCGUGUAGGCGGCUUGAUAAGUCUGCUCUGAAAGCCCGGGGCUCAACCCUGGGAGGCGGGUGGAUACUGUCGAGCUCGAGUCCGGAAGAGGCGAGUGGAAUUCCUGGUGUAGCGGUGAAAUGCGCAGAUAUCAGGAAGAACACCCGUGGCGAAGGCGGCUCUCUGGGACGGUACUGACGCUGAGACGCGAAAGCGUGGGGAGCAAACAGG
rnacentral:rRNA from 1 species